rnacentral:tRNA from 3 species
GGAGAGGUGCCCGAGCGGCCGAAGGGGGCGGACUCGAAAUCCGUUGUACUGGUCUCCAGUACCGAGGGUUCAAAUCCCUCUCUCUCCG